GAUGAAGAACGUAGUGAAAUGCGAUAAGUAAUGUGAAUUGCAGAAUUCAGUGAAUCAUCGAAUCUUUGAACGCACAUUGCGCCCGCCAGUAUUCUGGCGGGCAUGCCUGUUCGAGCGUCAUUUCAACCCUCAAGCCCCCGGGCUUGGUGUUGGGGAUCGGCGUGCCCUCGCGGCGCGCCGUCCCCUAAAUCUAGUGGCGGUCUCGCUGUAGCUUCCUCUGCGUAGUAGCAACACUCGCACUGGAUCGCAGCGCGGCCACGCCGUUAAACCCCCCACUUCUGAAAGUUUGACCUCGGAUCAGGUAGGAAUACCCGCUGAACUUAAGCAUAUCAAUAAGGGAGGA
rnacentral:misc_RNA from 1 species